UACGUAGGGUGCAAGCGUUGUCCGGAAUUAUUGGGCGUAAAGGGCUUGUAGGCGGUUUGUCGCGUCUGCUGUGAAAUUUCGGGGCUCAACCCCGGACUUGCAGUGGGUACGGGCAGGCUAGAGUGUGGUAGGGGAGAGUGGAAUUCCUGGUGUAGCGGUGGAAUGCGCAGAUAUCAGGAGGAACACCGGUGGCGAAGGCGGCAGCCUGGACCAGGACUGACGCUGAAACGCGAAAGCGAGGGGAGCAAACGGG
rnacentral:rRNA from 1 species